UACGUAGGGUGCAAGCGUUGUUCGGAAUCAUUGGGCGUAAAGCGCGUGUAGGCGGCCUACUAAGUCUGAUGUGAAAGCCCGGGGCUCAACCCCGGAAGUGCAUUGGAUACUGGUUGGCUAGAGGGCGAGAGAGGGAAGUGGAAUUCCUGGUGUAGGGGUGAAAUCCGUAGAUAUCAGGAGGAACAUCGGUGGCGAAGGCGGCUUCCUGGCUCGAUACUGACGCUGAGGUGCGAAAGCGUGGGGAGCAAACAGG
rnacentral:rRNA from 1 species